AAGUCGUAACAAGGUUUCCGUAGGUGAACCUGCGGAAGGAUCAUUAAUGCUAACUUUCCACUUGAGGAAUUGAGGCUUACCAGCCACAUUCCACAAGCGUGAAACGUGUAACUCUUAUCUUAAACGCUUAAGGAAAACUUUUUAUUAAGUUUUCCCUAACGUACCAAGUAACUUGAGAAGGCCUUUGCUGUUUUUUCGGAGAUAGCAAAGUGUUUUUUCUCUCAUUUUUUUUACUACCAUAAUUACCCUAUUAACUUAUAAACUAUUAGACUGAUAUAAAAUAACAUUUAUUUUAUAAAUGUAUGAUACAACUCUUAGCAAUGGAUAUCUAGGCUCUU
rnacentral:misc_RNA from 1 species